rnacentral:rRNA from 1 species
AACGAACGCUGGCGGCAGGCUUAACACAUGCAAGUCGAACGAGAUCUUCGGAUCUAGUGGCAGACGGGUGAGGAACACGUGGGAACAUCCCUUUCAGUUCGGAAUAACGUUGGGAAACUAACGCUAAUACCGGAUACGUCCUUCGGGAGAAAGAUUUAUCGCUGAAAGAUUGGCCCGCGUCUGAUUAGCUAGUUGGUGAGGUAACGGCUCACCAAGGCUACGAUCAGUAGCUGAUCUGAGAGGAUGAUCAGCCACAUUGGGACUGAGACACGGCCCAAACUCCUACGGGAGGCAGCAGUGGGGAAUAUUGAACAAUGGGCGCGAGCCUGAUCCAGCCAUGCCGCGUGAGUGAUGACGGCCUUCGGGUUGUAAAGCUCUUUUGUCCGGGAAGAUAAUGACUGUACCGGAAGAAUAAGCCCCGGCAAACUUCGUGCCAGCCGCCGCCGUAA